rnacentral:rRNA from 1 species
UACAGAGGGUGCGAGCGUUAAUCGGAAUUACUGGGCGUAAAGCGUGCGCAGGCGGCUAUGUAAGACAGGUGUGAAAUCCCCGGGCUUAACCUGGGAACUGCAUUUGUGACUGCAUAGCUAGAGUACGGUAGAGGGGGAUGGAAUUCCGCGUGUAGCAGUGAAAUGCGUAGAUAUGCGGAGGAACACCGAUGGCGAAGGCAAUCCCCUGGACCUGUACUGACGCUCAUGCACGAAAGCGUGGGGAGCAAACAGG